CCUCUCUUUUAGACAACAUCUCCAAAUAUUUUCCCCCAAAACCCAAAUAGAAAGAGUGUAUCUUUCCAUUAACCAACCCAGUAAAUCACUAACAAAAAACUCUAACCAUAACAUAGCGAAAGUUAACUACUUAAGGAGAUUUUAUCAAACAUUCCCAAAUUCACAGCUCCCUAAUUAAUCCACAGAAACCCAGAAGUCAGUCAAAGCUUAGAUUUUCAGCACAAGUGAUGGGAGAACCAAUUCGAUCCACCAAUAAAUCAAAAACAGAAUAGGGCACCAUAGAAACCCACAUAAAAAAUUAUGGGAAAAAGAAACAUUUUGCGAGAACCUUUUCUUCAUCAGGAACGACGGCACAGAAGAUCGCUAUAGCGUGUUGAUAAAAUUUGUCGAUCAAUUCGCCGCCGAUGAAUUUUACAGCUAUUUCAAUGGCAGGAAAUUUUCUCCUGCCGAGGGUAUUGAAGAAGAUUAUUAAAGAAGAUAUAGAGUAUGAGAUUGGAAGAAGAGGCGACCGAGUAUGGCUUGCAUUUAGCGUCUAGGAAUCUUCAGGUUGUGAAAUUUGGAAUUUCUAUGUAGAUUUAUUGUGAGGCCCAAUUCAAAUGUAAUUUGGAAUUGAUUUUUGGAUUUCUUUUCAAAGGCUUGAUGCAUAGGGAAGAAGAUUUCUGGGUGAUGGAUAGGGAAGAUGAUUUUUGGGUGGUGCUUCAUUGUAAUGGAAGAUGACUUUUUUUUUUAAUUUCUUAAUCAAACAUUUUUCACGUCAAACUUAACUUAAUCUCGUUAAGCCAAUUUAACGGCAGGGAUCUAAUUGAGUCAAUUUUUCACUUAUAAGGAAUAAAUUGGGGAAACCGAUAAAAUAUUAUGAAGGUGAUGACUUGGGUCCAAGCCCAUCAAAUAAUCAAGGCCCAAAUACUAGAAGCUAUAAAAGCACACCCAUCAUCUUGUAUGAAGUCACUUUUGAAGAAUAUUGAGUUUUACUCUGCUGAUGCAUUUUCAGCACCCUAAACUCUGUCCAAAAGUCACUUCUAUGAGCUUUCCUUCUCCAUCUAGCUUCCUUUCAGUGGAAGGCCGCCUAAGCUAGCUUCCACCCACACCAAACAGCUCUUCAACCAUCCUCUACACCAUUGAUUUCACCUUUGCAUCUUGCUGCCCCAAUCUGGUUUCCAUCUUCCGCUGCAUUCCAUUCAUCACCCUUGUAGGAGCAACCUCAUCAAGUGGUAUUCAGAGCUCCGAUUUGUUCUGCAUCACACGCUUUUUGCUUUAGUGCACUAUUACAUUGAUUUUUGGGUUUCAAUAGAUUUUCAAUCGAGUCAUUUAAUUGUUCCAAAUUUUAUUCAAUUUAAUUUCAUCAUUUUAAUCGGUUUAUUCAUUUGUUUUGAGUAUUUUCAUUUUGGAAAUCUGAUCUGUCAUGUAUAGUCAUGUCCAAUUAAUUCAAAUUGUCAAAUUCUGAAGUAAAUUAGUGCUUGGAUAAAUUUGUGUUACUUGAAUGGUUAUUCGAUAGCUGCACAUUAUAAGAGCAAGGAUCCAAAGAGCUCAAGUGCAACCUGGUUCCAUCAAGUGCAGUACCAAUUUUCACAGUAACCAAAUCUGAUUUCAAUUUGUUUGAAUCUACACGUGUAAAAUUGAAAUCUGGAUAUAUUUGAGUUGCUGCAAAGUAUGAUGAGUGCAUACCAAAUGAACAGUACAUUGUCCAAGACAAUAGCAAUUGGUUGUACCAUCCUGCAAAAUCCAGAAUUUAGUGCCUAAGCAGCUUGACCAAACUACACCCUUCUUUGUUUGAGUUUCUACAUUUUUUAAUCUGUCCAGUUUAUAACUCUCUGCUGGACAUCUUUAAAAUCAUUCCUAGAGUCUUGUUCAAAUUUAAAUUGUUGUUCUGGAGUCAUAAGACUUGUUUCCAGUUCCAUUUGAAUCUUCUGUUGAAAUUUGGUUGGUGAAUUGAACCAAUUUUGGAUGUUAAGAGCAACUCAUAGAGUGAAAUUUUGAUUUGCAAAUAGUUAGCCUCUGCUGGCAGCUUAUACAAGUCAUAUUUGGUAAAAUAAAGUUGCUCAAAUCAUAAAAUUAAGUAUCCAAACUUGUUUGUGCAAAAUGGCCAUUCAAACCACCAAUUUUCCAACACUUUUUCUGAUAUGAGUUGCAGAAAUUUGUGAAUCUUUGCUUGCUGUGAUUAUUGCAUCAAAUUACAUCUUCAAUUGGUAGCAAAAGCUUGGUUCAUUUGAUUAAAAAGAAGUGCACAAGUCAAAAUUCACAAUAGACUGCAUUUUAAAAAGUUGUGUGAACCAAUGCCAAUAAAAUUUUUUUCAAAUGUGAUGCACAUUUUACAGAAGCUCUCUUAGGCAUUUCUUCAAACAGUUUUGCCUAUUUUAAAAUUGAGUUCGAAUUAGCCAUCUCUACAACUUGUAAUUGUUUCUUGCUUUUAACUCCACUCUAGAGUCUCUCCUAAGUUCAUAUUGAGUGCCACCUUUCAUUGAAAACCACUUAAUUGUUUGAUUUGAUUUGUUUGAAAAUUUUGCACAUCAACUGUUUGAUGAAAGUUCAGUUGUGCAUUUUGGUUUAGUAGUUUCUGGCAGCAGCAGGGUUGGAUUUUCUUACGUUUUAAUCACUUGAAGGUGGUUCUUUUGAGCUCUAUUUUUGGUGCAGAAUUAUCCAGGCAGUCCUCCAACACUGGUAGCAUCCUAGGAAGUGGAGUGGAGCAAGGAAAGAUCAACUUUGGAGUUGAUUUCUGGUGCAGCAGUUCACGUCCUUGGGUCUGCACAAGUCUCUGAUUGUUGUAACAGCAGAGUGCAUUUCUUGUCAACUGUGAGAUUAGUAUUGAUAUUUGAUCCAGGAGGGACUCUUGUGAAGCCAACAAAAAUAAGUCCUCACAAAGACAAACCAUCAGAUUUAAGGACAAAUCCUUUCCAAGGGGGAGGGGAUGAUGACUUGGGCCCAAGCCCAUCAAAUAAUCAAGGCCCAAAUAAUAGAAGCUAGCCAAGGAAAGCAUAAUUGCAGUCCAUGAAGGUGCGCCCAACGCAAGCCCUAAGAGUGCUUAGCCCAUCUUCACUUUGUAGCAUGUGUAUUAGGUGCUUAAUUAUAUUUCAGCAUGAGUUGCACACAAGGACACAUGGCUUGUGAUCCAUUAUACACGACUGAUUAUAAGCUCAACCUAGAAGCACUGAAUGGGUAGUUGAAAGUGCUAUAAAAGCACACCCAUCAUCUUGUACGAAGUCACUUUUGAAGAAUAUUGAGUUUUACUCUGCUGAUGCAUUUCCAAUACCCUAUACUUUGUCCAAAAGUCACUUCUAUGAGCUUUCCUUCUCCAUCUAGCUUCCUUUCAGUGGAAGGCCGCCUAAGCUAGCUUCCACCCACACCAAACAACUCUUCAACCAUCCUCUACACCAUUGAUUUCACC